UUUCUGGAGGAUUACCUCAGCUACCGAAAAUAUAGCUACAGUACCCUUUUUUUUCCUGCUUUAUGGUCUGUCUUAACCAAAACCACGCAAUUCAACAACUGUGUGGAGGCCUCAAAUUCUAGCAUUCUGAGAGCCAUAGUCAAGAAAGAGUCUCUCAUCAUUUUAAUCAUGGAAACAGACCCUACUGAAGCCUCAAUGAUCUCACUUGUGAAGCGGUCAGCCCGAAAAACCAUCUUGAAAAGGAUUUGUACUAAGGAUCAGGCGUGUUAGAGAGAGAAGGAGAGGCCUAGGAACAACCGCCUCAGCCGUCAUUCUUGGUUACUUACAUCUGUGGUCAAUUUCCCACACUUUAUUCCAUAAAAGGUAAACGAGGCACGGUGCUUGCAACAAGAUAAUCUAAACAAUAUGAACAAUGUUACUGUUAAAGACCAUCUGGCUGAUCAUGCUCAGCCCAGACUUUUAACUCCUUGAGUUCCAGGAGAAGCUGCAAAUAUUCAAGUACAGACCAGACUCUCCAACUUGGAUCAGAACCGUGGUACUGAGGAAGAUGCGAAAGUUCUUCAGAGUUCAGGAGCAGCUCCAGGCAAACAACCCACCAGCUAAAAAAUCCAGACAGUGUCUACCUCCCACCUCCUCCCUCCUACACUCAUCCUUUCCCAGAGAUGGAACCAGCUGGAUCUAGCAAAUGGAAUCCAUCCCUCUAGGGCAAACUGGUCCCACACAUUGCACUGGAAGGAAAAGCAUCAGGGCUGGAAUGGCCCACAUUCGGUAACGUGGACAGGGCUGAAGUGUGCCUGAGAAGCAGUCAUUUGGGACCAGAGAGACACAGUAACAACACCUGUGGAGACAACAAUGAAGCUCAGAGCUUGCUGUGGAAAUGGAAGACUUUUGAUGGCAGAAACUGGUUUCUCUUUUUGUAUUUAUAAGCCCAGUUUCUUAUUUAUAGCAGGAGGUGCUGAUGGAACAGUGUUCUCUUCAGGGCUGACUUGGGCAUUCCCUACCAGCUGGGUAAUUCUCUGAGGGUAUGGGCAAGCUGUCAUUAGCAACUUGGUGCUGGUGGGAGAAGACAGGAAGUGAGAAACUCAUCAUGAUCCCCAACAAGCUUUCUGCCCCCCAUCCUCCGCACCCCAGCUUUAGGAAGAACCCACAUUGCUACAGGUUUCUGGUUGGAAAGUGCUGGAAGCCAAGGAGCUCCUCAACGGCCCAGCAGGGACUCGCUCAAUGAGUUUUUAAAGAUGAGCCAUCCUCUAUUGUUUCCAAUCACCUAUUAGAGAGAGGCCCACCUGGCAGAAACCCUUGGACAGGGGCGCACUGGUUAGAACAUAAGGAGCCACUGCUUACCAAAGUGAACCAGACACUUCCUUUGCCUGAGGAUUUCUGAGGAUAAAUAAGGUACACCCCCAACUUGGGCCCAAGGACUGACUCUUCUCCACUUCCAAGGAGCCCCCGCCCCCUCACUGCAGUAACUCACCCAGGUGGACCAGAUCCGAGCCUGGCCCCCGAAGGGGUUGCGACUUGGCAUAGAUGUUUUCUAUAACUGUCUGGGAUCUCUUUAGUGUGGGGUAUUCAUUAUUUAAGUUCUGUGGAAACUGUUUAGCUCUGAAGCCAACUGACUCAUCCUCCCCUUUAACUUUUUAUUUCCUGUAAGCGAUCCAUUAGUAUCUGGCAAGGUUCAGGUCACAACAUUGCUCCAUCAAAAGGGAACUGUUCUUAAGGGGCUAGGAGCUUUUUGUUAGGAGCUGAAUUUGAAUCAAGAUAGAAUUCUGUGCUGUGUAAUUAUGACGACCAACCUUAGCCCAGAGGAGAGACAAGAAAAUGCACCUCCCACCUCACAUACUGUCAGACUCGGUUGAUGUGUUGGCUAAUUACUUUCUCUCCCUUUCUUUUUUAUUCUUUGUUGCAGAUGGAUUUCUGGGUAGAGUAGCGGGGAAGGAGAUAUUUAGAAACAAAGGUGAUGCAAAAACGAAGUACAUCAAUAAAAAAAUGUUUGGAAAUGGAUGUGUUCUACAAACAAGGCUUUCUUAAAAGUUGUC